rnacentral:rRNA from 1 species
AGUCUGCAACUCGACUCCAUGAAGUCGGAAUCGCUAGUAAUCGUAGAUCAGAAUGCUACGGUGAAUACGUUCCCGGGCCUUGUACACACCGCCCGUCACACCAUGGGAGUGGGUUGCAAAAGAAGUAGGUAGCUUAACCUUCGGGAGGGCGCUUACCACUUUUGUGAUUCAUGACUUGGG